rnacentral:rRNA from 1 species
AUUGAACGCUGGCGGCAGGCCUAACACAUGCAAGUCGAGCGACCGGCGGACGGGUGAGUAAUGUAUGGGGACUGCCCGAUAGAGGGGGCUAACUACUGGAGACGCUAGCUAAUACCGCAUACUAUCGGACAACCCAGUUGGGAUUAGCUGGUAGGGGGGGUAAUGGCCCACAUAGGCGACGAUCCCUAGCUGGUCUGAGAGGAUGAUCAGCCACACUGGAACUGAGACACGGCCCAGACUCCUACGGAGGCAGCAGUGGGGAAUAUUGGACAAUGGGCGAAAGCCUGAUGCAGCCAUGCCGCGUGUAUGAAGAAGGCCUUAGGGUUGUAAAGUACUUUAAGUCGGGAGGCGUUACCGACAGAAGAAGCACCGGCUAACUCCGUGCCAGCAGCCGCGGUAAUAC